GAAUGUGAUAUCUGAUAGGAUAAACUAAUUUUAUUAUUUAAUAGGCUUUUUAUUGGUAUCCCAAUUAUAAACUUGUUGAUCAAUCAUCAGCACAAAUACGUGGGAUAAUGGUUACAUAUGGUAGAAUUAUUUCGGUCAACUAUUUAACUUACAUCAUUCACAGACGUAAGUGAUAGAAUAUAUAAGUUCUGUAAUACAAAAUAUUUUUCUAUCUGGAAAUAAAAAGAGUGAUAGAAUAUUAUGAGUAUAUGACAAAGUUAUUAUAUACUGUAUUAUGUAAAAAAGAAAGUAUUCUGUAAGAAAAAUACAAUGUUAUGAAUACUAAAAAUGCAACAACAGAGAAACUCAAGGGACAAAUAUAUUCGGUGCGCCAUUCACCAAAAAAAAAAAAAAAUAUAUAUUCGGUGCGCCGGUUAAAACUUUGAUUGAGGUGAAAGUGAAGGAGUGUGCGAGCCAGCCGUGUGUCUGGGCGUGACAAGCACGCUCUUCAUAAGCAAGCAAAGCAUCGCGUGCAAGCUACGCGUGUUUGAUGGAAACCACCAAAGGUUGAUCAAUCUUUAUCGGAGAUCGACGUCAGAUCAGUGUUACUCGGGACGCGAGCUACCAAAAGUGUCCUCUCUCUCUCUUCUUUUUUUGUUCUUCUCCAAUAAUAACGGUAGAGCUUAGUCUACUGCUUCCAAGUCGAUCACCAUCAGAAUAUAGACACGCGUCUCGUUCUGUAUGUAGCAAUAAUAGACUCACUUCUCGGAUGGUUAAAGUAAGGGAUGAUAGGAUACUUAGUUCUCAAAUGGGCCUGCCUGGGCCCAUGAACAAAUGACGACAUUAUGAACAACUGAAUACAUAAAGUUGAAACUGUAUGCGGAUUAGAUUCAACCUCAACCAUA
rnacentral:lncRNA from 1 species